rnacentral:rRNA from 1 species
AUUGAACGCUGGCGGCAUGCCUUACACAUGCAAGUCGAACGGUAACAGGUCUUCGGAUGCUGACGAGUGGCGAACGGGUGAGUAGUACAUCGGAACGUGCCUAGUAGUGGGGGAUAACUACUCGAAAGAGUGGCUAAUACCGCAUGAGAUCUACGGAUGAAAGCAGGGGAUCGCAAGACCUUGUGCUACUAGAGCGGCCGAUGGCAGAUUAGGUAGUUGGUGGGAUAAAAGCUUACCAAGCCGACGAUCUGUAGCUGGUCUGAGAGGACGAUCAGCCACACUGGGACUGAGACACGGCCCAGACUCCUACGGGAGGCAGCAGUGGGGAAUUUUGGACAAUGGGCGAAAGCCUGAUCCAGCAAUGCCGCGUGCAGGAUGAAGGCCUUCGGGUUGUAAACUGCAUUUGUACGGAACGAAAAGCCCCGGGUUAAUACCCUGGGGUCAUGACGGUACCGUAAGAAUAAGCACCGGCUAACUACGUGCCAGCCGCCGCGGUAA